UACGUAGGCAGCAAGCGUUGUUCGGAGUUACUGGGCGUAAAGAGUGCGUAGGCGGUUUUCAAAGUCGGUGGUGAAAUCUCCCGGCUUAACCGGGAGGGUGCGGUGGAAACUGGGAGGCUCGAGUGUGGGAGAGGUAAGCGGAAUUCCUGGUGUAGCGGUGAAAUGCGUAGAUAUCAGGAGGAACACCGGUGGUGUAGACGGCUUACUGGACCACGACUGACGCUGAGGCACGAGAGCGCGGGUAGCAAACAGG
rnacentral:rRNA from 1 species